CCCCUCUCAGGAUAGCACCUGGAGAGUUCUAGUACUUUACCAGUCUCGACUAUGAGAGGGAAAGUCAAGCAGAGGCCUACCCAUUCCAUUCCUAGCUUGGGCACUGGCUAGAGGGUGGAAGGCAAUCUGCUACAAGU
rnacentral:snoRNA from 2 species